rnacentral:rRNA from 1 species
GAUGAACGCUAGCUACAGGCUUAACACAUGCAAGUCGAGGGGCAGCACUAGGUAGCAAUACUGAGGUGGCGACCGGCGCACGGGUGCGUAACGCGUAUCCAACCUUCCCGUUACUCUUGGAUAGCCUUCCGAAAGGGAGAUUAAUACAAGAUGGUAUUCAAAUUCCGCAUGUUAUUUGAAUUAAAGAUUUAUCGGUAACGGAUGGGGAUGCGUGACAUUAGAUAGUAGGCGGGGUAACGGCCCACCUAGUCUACGAUGUCUAGGGGUUCUGAGAGGAAGGUCCCCCACACUGGAACUGAGACACGGUCCAGACUCCUACGGGAGGCAGCAGUGAGGAAUAUUGGUCAAUGGACGAGAGUCUGAACCAGCCAUGUCGCGUGAAGGAUGACUGUCCUAUGGAUUGUAAACUUCUUUUAUAUGGGGAUAAAGUGUGAGACUUGUCUCAUUUUGCAUGUACCAUAUGAAUAGCAUCGGCUAACUCCGUGCCAG